rnacentral:rRNA from 1 species
AGAGUUUGAUCCUGGCUCAGGAUGAACGCUGGCGGCGUGCUUAACACAUGCAAGUCGAACGAAGCACUUUAUUUGAUUUCCUUCGGGACUGAUUAUUUUGUGACUGAGUGGCGGACGGGUGAGUAACGCGUGGGUAACCUGCCUUGUACAGGGGGAUAACAGUUGGAAACGGCUGCUAAUACCGCAUAAGCGCACAGCAUCGCAUGAUGCAGUGUGAAAAACUCCGGUGGUAUAAGAUGGACCCGCGUUGGAUUAGCUAGUUGGUGAGGUAACGGCCCACCAAGGCGACGAUCCAUAGCCGACCUGAGAGGGUGACCGGCCACAUUGGGACUGAGACACGGCCCAAACUCCUACGGGAGGCAGCAGUGGGGAAUAUUGCACAAUGGGCGAAAGCCUGAUGCAGCGACGCCGCGUGAGCGAAGAAGUAUUUCGGUAUGUAAAGCUCUAUCAGCAGGGAAGAUAAUGACGGUACCUGACUAAGAAGCACCGGCUAAAUACGUGCCAGCAGCCGCGGUAAUACGUAUGGUGCAAGCGUUAUCCGGAUUUACUGGGUGUAAAGGGAGCGCAGGCGGUGCGGCAAGUCUGAUGUGAAAGCCCGGGGCUCAACCCCGGUACUGCAUUGGAAACUGUCGUACUAGAGUGUCGGAGGGGUAAGCGGAAUUCCUAGUGUAGCGGUGAAAUGCGUAGAUAUUAGGAGGAACACCAGUGGCGAAGGCGGCUUACUGGACGAUAACUGACGCUGAGGCUCGAAAGCGUGGGGAGCAAACAGGAUUAGAUACCCUGGUAGUCCACGCCGUAAACGCAGAAAUAAUAGGUGUUUGGGAAGCAUUGCUUUUUCGGUCCCGUCGCAAACGCACUAAGAAUUCCACCCGGGGAAGUACGUUCGCAAGAAAGAAACUCAAAGGAAUUGACGGGGACCCGCACACGCGGUGGAGCAUGUGGUUUAAUUCGAAGCAACGCGAAGAACCUUACCAAGUCUUGACAUCCUUCUGACCGGUACUUAACCGUACCUUCUCUUCGGAGCAGGAGUGACAGGUGGUGCAUGGUUGUCGUCAGCUCGUGUCGUGAGAUGUUGGGUUAAGUCCCGCAACGAGCGCAACCCUUAUCUUUAGUAGCCAGCGGUUCGGCCGGGCACUCUAGAGAGACUGCCAGGGAUAACCUGGAGGAAGGCGGGGAGGACGUCAAAUCAUCAUGCCCCCUAUGACUUGGGCUACACACGUGCUACAAUGGCGUAAACAAAGGGAAGCAAAGCUGUGAAGCCGAGCAAAUCUCAAAAAUAACGUCUCAGUUCGGACUGUAGUCUGCAACCCGACUACACGAAGCUGGAAUCGCUAGUAAUCGCAGAUCAGAAUGCUGCGGUGAAUA